GGUCGCGUGGCCCAAUGGCAAGGCGUCUGACUACGACUCGAAGGUUUCCCAGGUCACGACGGGGAUUCUUCAAGUAACAAUCAGGAGAUUGCGGGUUCGAUCCCCGUCGUGGCCU
rfam:Trichosporon asahii var. asahii CBS 8904 unplaced genomic scaffold scaffold00033, whole genome shotgun sequence.